GUUUUUUUAAAUAUAUAAAAAUGUUCGACCAAUCCACUAAUGCAUUAGCCCCAGAAAAGCAGUAUGAAUAUUACUGUAAACAGUAGUCCAACGUUUUGCCUCUGUAAUUAUACUUGUUAGGUACAAAGUGGAGGAGGACCAACUACUAGAAAGGCUGUUUAAAGGCUGCAGAUGGUCCAGCUCUCAGUAGAAAUGUUCUACAAUCAGACUGUGAGUGAGGAUAUUUUUAGUAAACAACUGGACACCAUUACAUUUAAUACCAGGCUUUACUAAUAGCAAACUUUCAUCCAAAGGCUGGAUUUAAAAUAGACUGUGGCCACAUAUAAUUAUAAUCACAAUCCACAGUAUGAUUACAUGGAUUCUGAGAAUUAUUAGCUCUAUUAUUUAAAGAAAAAUAAACUGCAUACAUAUAUUGUAGGUUGCAUUCAUUCCAUCUCCUUACUCUCCUGCCUCAAGGACAAUUAUUUUCACCUUAGGAAAAGACAGAAGCAAAUAGAAGCAGCUGCAUUUAAAUAAAGUUGAUCACGUCUCUGUGUCAUUGAAAUGCAUCCUCUAGAAUCUAGACGAUGGACGUGAAACUACUCAGUCUGCGCUGACCAAUCAGCAACAGGCUGCAGAGAAAGGGGCGUGUCUCUUCGGUACAGCACUUCCGGGUUUUUCCUGUUUAUUCCUCCCUAGACAUCCCACCUGGCUCCUCAACAAAGAGCCCGUAAGACGCACUUCGAAAUGUUAUAAAUAAAAAAAAUAAAAAACGCCCUUCAAAAUAAGAAGGCUGAGCAACUUCCGGGACGAGCGGGGAUCAGGAAAACCUGGUUCGGCAGCGUUAGCCUGGUAUCAAGGUCAUCUUUAGCCGCUCACCGCCUGUAACAUUAGCACCGUCAUCAAACGCACUGAUGGAUAGUGGAAAAAAGCUUUUAAUAGUAUUUUACUUAUGUCAACUACAACACGUGGGGACAGGACUGAUCAUCUGCACCAAAUAUCCCCGAGCGGAGGAACAAGCACCAUUGAGUUGACGGAGGAGAACGUCCAGCUCUUCAGGCAGGGCGAAGAGGAAGCAGUGUCAGAAAACCUCCGACCCUCAGACGAUGACAGAUAUGCAUGAGCAGAGGAUGAUUAAGGACACAGGCACAGGCUGAGGACAAAGACAGGAACGGCGCGUGAGCUUGUUCCACUGGCCGGCUGCCACCGGCCCGGGGCAGAGUCAGACCACGGCUGCCACGAGAGCGGCCGACGGUUCAGCCCAGCCAACUAAACCGGAAGUUAGCACCACGUUGCUGCUUCUACAAUAGAAAAGAAACCAGCACCACGCUCUAAUCUCUACAAGGCAGGUACAACUUUGAACCCAUCAUCUUUAUUAUGGGGCCAAAAGCUGGAUUCACAGAAAGGUCAGAUUAGCUCAGAAUCUACACCAGCGUCCUGCUUCAAGAGGAUGAUUUCAUACUUCUCUUUGCACCUUGAUCUCCUUUUGAGGGUGUUGAGGUCUUUGACCUGCAGCAGCGACACAUUAUCAGCAAGAAUCUGCCUUAGAUUGACUGAAAUAAAAAAUAAAAUAACAUUUAAAAUAUAAUAAAC
ensembl:lncRNA